rnacentral:rRNA from 1 species
AGAGUUUGAUCAUGGCUCAGAUUGAACGCUGGCGGCAGGCCUAACACAUGCAAGUCGAGCGGUAGCACAGAGAGCUUGCUCUCGGGUGACGAGCGGCGGACGGGUGAGUAAUGUCUGGGAAACUGCCUGAUGGAGGGGGAUAACUACUGGAAACGGUAGCUAAUACCGCAUAACGUCGCAAGACCAAAGUGGGGGACCUUCGGGCCUCAUGCCAUCAGAUGUGCCCAGAUGGGAUUAGCUAGUAGGUGGGGUAACGGCUCACCUAGGCGACGAUCCCUAGCUGGUCUGAGAGGAUGACCAGCCACACUGGAACUGAGACACGGUCCAGACUCCUACGGGAGGCAGCAGUGGGGAAUAUUGCACAAUGGGCGCAAGCCUGAUGCAGCCAUGCCGCGUGUGUGAAGAAGGCCUUCGGGUUGUAAAGCACUUUCAGCGGGGAGGAAGGCGUUAAGGUUAAUAACCUCACCGAUUGACGUUACCCGCAGAAGAAGCACCGGCUAACUCCGUGCCAGCAGCCGCGGUAAUACGGAGGGUGCAAGCGUUAAUCGGAAUUACUGGGCGUAAAGCGCACGCAGGCGGUCUGUCAAGUCGGAUGUGAAAUCCCCGGGCUCAACCUGGGAACUGCAUUCGAAACUGGCAGGCUAGAGUCUUGUAGAGGGGGGUAGAAUUCCAGGUGUAGCGGUGAAAUGCGUAGAGAUCUGGAGGAAUACCGGUGGCGAAGGCGGCCCCCUGGACAAAGACUGACGCUCAGGUGCGAAAGCGUGGGGAGCAAACAGGAUUAGAUACCCUGGUAGUCCACGCCGUAAACGAUGUCGAUUUGGAGGUUGUGCCCUUGAGGCGUGGCUUCCGGAGCUAACGCGUUAAAUCGACCGCCUGGGGAGUACGGCCGCAAGGUUAAAACUCAAAUGAAUUGACGGGGGCCCGCACAAGCGGUGGAGCAUGUGGUUUAAUUCGAUGCAACGCGAAGAACCUUACCUGGUCUUGACAUCCACAGAACUUUCCAGAGAUGGAUUGGUGCCUUCGGGAACUGUGAGACAGGUGCUGCAUGGCUGUCGUCAGCUCGUGUUGUGAAAUGUUGGGUUAAGUCCCGCAACGAGCGCAACCCUUAUCCUUUGUUGCCAGCGGUUAGGCCGGGAACUCAAAGGAGACUGCCAGUGAUAAACUGGAGGAAGGUGGGGAUGACGUCAAGUCAUCAUGGCCCUUACGACCAGGGCUACACACGUGCUACAAUGGCAUAUACAAAGAGAAGCGACCUCGCGAGAGCAAGCGGACCUCAUAAAGUAUGUCGUAGUCCGGAUUGGAGUCUGCAACUCGACUCCAUGAAGUCGGAAUCGCUAGUAAUCGUAGAUCAGAAUGCUACGGUGAAUACGUUCCCGGGCCUUGUACACACCGCCCGUCACACCAUGGGAGUGGGUUGCAAAAGAAGUAGGUAGCUUAACCUUCGGGAGGGCGCUUACCACUUUGUGAUUCAUGACUGGGGUGAAGUCGUAACAAGGUAACCGUAGGGGAACCUGCGGUUGGAUCACCU